rnacentral:misc_RNA from 1 species
GAUGAAGAACGCAGCGAAAUGCGAUAAGUAGUGUGAAUUGCAGAAUUCAGUGAAUCAUCGAAUCUUUGAACGCACAUUGCGCCCUUUGGUAUUCCUUAGGACAUGCCUGUUCGAGCGUCAUUUAAACCUUCAAGCUCAGCUUGGUGUUGGGUGACUGUCCGCUUCACCGCGGACUCGCCUCAAAAUUAUUGGCGGCCGGUACAUUGGCUUCGAGCGCAGCAGAAACGCGAACUCGGGCCCGUCGUAUUGGCUCCCAGAAGCUAUCUUCACAAUUUUGACCUCGGAUCAGGUAGGGAUACCCGCUGAACUUAAGCAUAUCAAAAGCGGAGGA